rnacentral:misc_RNA from 1 species
GAACGCACAUUGCGCCCGCCAGUAUUCUGGCGGGCAUGCCUGUUCGAGCGUCAUUUCAACCCUCAAGCUCUGCUUGGCGUUGGGGAUCGGCAACCCGGCUUCGCGCCGCGCCGUCCCUCAAAUACAGUGGCGGUCACGCUGCAGCUUCCUUUGCGUAGUAGCACACCUCGCACCGGAGAGCAGCGCGGCCACGCCGUAAAACCCCCGACUUCUUGUUUUUGACCUCGAAUCAGGUAGGACUACCCGCUGAACUUAAG